AUGCUGAAACAACGGAUCCCGUAAGAUUCACCGAAGUUAAGCAACGUUAAGCUUGGUCAGUACCUAGCUGGGUGACCACUUGAGAAUACCAGGUGCUGUAA